AGAAUAGGUCUUGAAGCUAGCAUGUGUGAGUGGUGUUGUGGCUCGGUGCGCUCUGCAUCCUGGCCGAGUCUGCAUAGAGAGAUUCUAGGAAAGGAUUAGAUCAUGGAGUUAGUGGACCAAGUAGUGGUAUGAGUGGACAUGGCAUGCGUGCCAAGACUUGUAUAUAUAUUCUGCAUUGAGUUAAUGAGAAAAUGGGCUGUGAGGGCUGAACAAAAACAAUGUAGCCAUUCUGAUCACCAAGGAAGUUUCAUGGCAAAGCUGCGUCUUCUUCCUUGGCUGAGUGUGUGCGUUGAGUUUCUCAGAGUGUGUGUCCGUGAGAGUGUGUUGAGAGGUAGAAGAAGAGAGAGGGGCUGCAAGGUGCAGCCCCAACAGAAACCCCUGAUUCGAUCUCCACCUCUUGCGAUCAACCAUGGCGCCGCUCUACCACCCAGAACCGUUCCUGCACAGUGCCGUGACCAGGAGCUUCAUCAACAGGGCUCUACAGGGCAGCACGCUUCGCCGGCUCACGCCCCAACCGCUUCAUAUUUCUGUCCUCCUAAUUAAGUGAUGUGCCUGUCUAGGCGCACUCGAAGAGGGUAGUGUCACGCACUCGGCAGUGUCGCAGUGAUCAGCCUUGGCAUGGCCGAUGACGAUGUGUAGACGGACGGCUUCAAGGAGUUAUAGCAAGGAGUUAUAGGAGGCGUGGCAUGGCAGAGUCGAAAUAAUCGCCGUCCUCAAAGCUUACUGCCUCUGAGUGGAAAUGUCGGUGUUCUCUUCUUUGCUACAGAUACUCACAAGUAUACUACUUGCAACCGUUCUUGCUCAUAUCUUUCUUUAGUUGUCCAUGUCCUCCACAAAGCAUCUUAUUCCCAUUCACACAUCUUUCUGAAAUGGUUUAAUUUUUUUUGCAGCUAUAAACAUCAUUACAGUAAAUUCGUUCAAACUAUUGUAAACAGUAAAUCGUCACUCGGAAGAAAUAUUUAAACAGUUGAGCUGCUUAUAUUCCCUUCCAACAUCCUAUCAAAGAACUCUUUGUCUUGGAAUUAUUAUCCAACUGAUUGAAUUGAUAUUUAUGUUUUGUUAUAA